GAGGAUGUGCUUUGAAGCCGUGAACUCCAGAGGCCUCAAGGGACAGACUCCAAGGCACAGUCCACUAGCGUGGUCAGUGUUCUUCAGACUCGCUUACACACAGGAGAGCGAAGGGUUAUUUAGAAAGAGGAGACAUCCUUGUUCACUGACAAACUUCUUGAAGCCUUUUUCUUUUUUUCAGGACAAACAACUCUUGAGUUGUCUGAGUGUGUCUGAGACUGUCUGUCCUACGUUUAGCUACUGCAGCUGUGCCAAGAAUGAACAGCAAAGCAAAGAGCUGCAAAAGCAUGAGGGCUGUCGGCCACGUGGUGGAGGAAGGUCUGGAAGGUUAUUCCUCUCUGACGAGUGUGUGCAAGAAAACACGGGCAAGGCGGCCUCACCCUCCUGGGCAGCUGACCUUGGUGGCAGUGAACUGUCCUUGUGAAAUUCUCAGCAGGGAAAGGCUUGAUGAAUAUAAUCAAGAACCACUCAGUCAAGGUGUCGUCCCACCGGACCUCUCUGCAGUGAGGAGCCCGCCCCAGUGUGAACGGCUGCAGAGGAGCAACACCUGUGUUCAAGCUCGUGUGUUGCACAUUGGUCCUUGUCAUGAUUCAGCUUUGUCCACAGUGCAUUUGACCCACGGCCUCGCACUCGAGAAUGAAGGGAAACAGUAUUUGGUAAGAAGGUCUUGUGAUAAUAAAAAUGAGUUACACGUACACAGCCUUAUGUGAUUUCUCUCCCAGCAUUUUCUUAUUCAUCAUCUCAGCUCAUUUCUACGACAUUAUAGGGUAAGCAAAAUACAUUUCUAAACGGAUUUUGUUGGUGCUUAGUACUUGUACAGGAUAAGGAGUUUCGUUUUGGUGUCUUGGUGCAUGCAUAUAACAUGCGAGAUUGUUUUCAUUCCUCAUUACCCUCCUCCUGCCUCGGGAUCCCCUUCCGCCUGUCCAAGAGUCUUCUUUCUACUUUGUGUCAUCGCUUUCUUUCUCUCCCUAGAUUCAUUAUAUGAGAGAGAACAUGUGACAUUUGGCUUAUUUUGCUUAACGUGUUGGUCUCUAGUUCUAUUCCUACAAAUGACAUGGUUUUGUUCUCUAAGGCUGAAUAAUACUCCAUUGUGUAUAUGUAUUACAUUUUUCUUUAUCCAUUCUUCUCUUGACAGGCUUCUAGGCUGUUUCCAUAGUUAACUGUUGAGAAGUGAGCCAUGCAGGAAUCUCCACAGCAUGCUCUCCAUGAUUCUUUGGGGAAUAUACUGCAGAGGGGCAGGUAGGUCAGAAGGUGCCUUAGUCACUUUCUCAUGCUGGGACAAAAUACCUGACACCGACAGCUUGGAGGAGUGUUUUAUUGUGGCUCACAAGUCUUAGAAGAUUCCAUCUAUAGUUGGCGGAAAUGGCAUGGAGGAAGGGCUGGCCACAGAGGAAAUCUGCUCAUCUCAUAGCAGCCAGGGAGUGGGGGAGGAGGGAGGAGCCGGGGAGGGACAUGCACCUCCCAGGUCACAAGGACAAGGACCCGCCUCUGCACACCAGGCUGUGCCCUAACAGCACAUCCAGCUCUGGGCUCUUCCUUGGACUGACCCACCGAUGUUCAUGGUGCCCAUGAUCCAGUCCUCUUCUAAAAGCCCCACUGCCUCUGGACACAAGAGACUUUGGGGGACUUUCUAGAUCUAAACCAGAAGAUAUAGUUGUCUGUAUGGUUAGAUUUCUCGAGGUCCUCCAUACUGAUUUCCACAGUGGCAGUACUAGUUUACCUCCCACCAACAGUGUAGAAGAGAUCCUGUCCCUUUGCAUCUUGCCAGGAAAUGGACUAUUUUUCUGUCUUAGUCUUCCUUGCCCUCAAUCUCUCUAUCUGAUAUAAAUUGAAGCCGUUAAUUCUGCCUCUGCAGUGGUUACUGAGCCAGCCCCUGUUGCCCCACGACAGUGUGAUAGCUUAGUUCAGACUUAUUUCUGCCCGUAGCAAGUGUUGCAGUUCCCUUGCAGCCAGACCCCUACACUUCUGACUUCUGUUUACGUGAUUAUCGAUUAUCAUGAUCUAUCCAAAGCCAGGAGCUGAUCCUGCUUCUGUCCUUCUCGCACGUGUACAGCUCUUCACUGCCUUAUUAGCAGGCCUGGACUUUUAUGUGAUUCAUAAUCUCAUUUUUGCUUGGGUCUGUCUCUCCUUAGUUUCCAGAUGGCUUGUGAUUGCCUUCAGCAUACUUCUCCGCCUGUUCCUGUGAGAUGCUGCAUCUGGAAUGCCCUGGCUCUCUGGGUAUUUUGUGAAACUUCUACUCAGACUUGUUAAGACUCAACAAAAUUCUCAUUUGUGAAGGUUGCUAUGAGUCAGGAAGAGACCAAAGUUCCCCUUCCCCUGGACGUGGCAGUGAACACAAACUUUCUGGUACUUAUCAAGUUCAGAAAAUUACUUGUUUGCAUGACCAGUUCUUGCACAGUACCAUUGGCUUAUCUUUAUGUCACCUCUAAUUAUCGCCUGAUGCUUGUCACAUAAAUAGAUUUUACAAAUUAGGAAAGACGAGGGUGGGGAGUGCUAAGGGAAUGAAAGACACUAAGGGAAUGAAACUUUUGAGAAGUGUUUUAAUCCAGCUCCUCUGGGUCUGUAUUUUUGUCCGUGGAAUGGAUCCCUUCCGUUGUCUUUAUGACCUGGUGUUGAUGAUUUGUGAUUGUAGGAAAUUCUAGUAUCUUCUCAUUUUCUUAGCCAUCGAGGCCAGAAUCAAAUCCAGGAUCUCCUGACUUCAAGUCCAUGUCUACUUAGUAUGCUUGUUUUUUCCCAAGCAAAGGUUGAGAUGAACUAGAAAGAUGCACAAUGUGAGAAAAAGAAAUCCAGGCCUUCGAGUUGGUAUUCUGAGGUAUGAGCUGUGGCCUGCUGUGAGGCUGUCCUGCUGGCCCCACUUUCCCAGUGUGGAUGGAGAGCGCUGAUCUCGCUUGCAGACCCGCCACUGUCCCUGCUCUACUGCUUCCUCCUUCCGCGCUGGAGGCAGGCUUCGUGCAUCAGCAACUGAACGCAUUCUGCACAUUCUCACUGAGCCUGCAGAUCAGAAUUCUCUUAACACUGCACUGUAAGAUGCCAGUUCUAUCUAGCAGGGAGUUUUAAUGCCAAGAAUAUGCAUGUGGUCAAAAGUAAAAUAAACUAUCUGCCAUUUUUGGCAUAAGGUCUCCUCUCUGAAGUCUCAGUUCUGUUACAUUCUGACGCUGGGCUUCUGGUGUAUUUGAACUUGGGUUUCUGGCCUCUGCAGGUGACAGUGAAGGAAAAUAUGCCCAGGUCCCUGGAAUGCUCAGGCCCUUUCAUGAUGAACCCGUGCGUACCCUCCAUUCCAUGAGUGAUCAGCAGGCUUUUAUAUUCUUUCAGGCCUAACCCAGUGACUCAGUAACUCAGUUGCAGAAGCAACUGAGAUGCAAGGGUAAGUUACAAGGGUAUCUACAUUCGGUGCAUCUGAGCAGAGUGAAAGUCAAUCAUAAUUGGGGACAGACGUGGACACACAGUGCUCAUGAUCUUUUCCUUCUCACUGGCCUACCGCAAGGGAAGUGUUACCUCAUUUUGGCACUCCUGCCACUUGCCAGAGGCUCAUUCAGCAAAGCGUUUGAACACUUGGGGAAUCGUUGAUGCUGUUGGAAAGGAGGCUAUAUCGGAACACUCUCCUGAUCCUAAUUAAAUAAAUUUUUUCCUUCCUGCGCUUGGUGUGUAAUAAGUGUAAAAAUGAAUUUUUGCAGAACGAGUGGAUCCUUACUCCUCUUUAGUUUGCAGUUGCACUGCCAGGUGUUGUGUGCCUUCAGAAUGACCCUCAUUCAUCUUGGUGCAUACAGAUCUCCCACUCUUUGAGCUGCCUUCACUUCCCUGACUUUGGAAAUAGCUGGCUGGGAUGUAAUUAAAUAUUUUGCUUUGUGUCUCAGGCUACUUUCUUAGUCUCUCAGGUGAGACAGCCUCUUGUUUCUCUUGGUAUCUAUCAUGAGGCUCAUUGUGUAGAUAGAACAACAUGAGUAUUCACCAUAGAUUGUUGUCCAUGGUCCUAGAAAGAUAGACUCUUAAAAGGAGUACCAAGGCAAGAGAGGGAGGUUUAUCCUGGUGUGGGGAAGGUGAGGAUUAUGGCGUGUGAGCAGAGCCAUGGCCUCAAGAAUACUGGGUGACAUGGUCCCCAGAACUGGUGAAACGAACUGAUAUGUCUUAUUAUCUAUCAUGCAAUAUUUCAUGAUAUCUCUUAUUCUACCUCUGCAGUGUAGUAGUGUAGUUCAGAGAAGUAGAAGCCACUGGAGCACAUUCAGAAGAAAGGGUUGGAGUCAGUAAGUGUCUUGGUCAGCCCUGUCUACUGUAUAACAAAUACCGUUGAGUGGGUAGCUUCAAUCACCAAGAUUACUUUUCAUCGCUCUGGAGAUGUACGUGGGAGAGGUCACAAUGCCAACAUGUUUGGGAUCCAUGUGAGCACUCUGACCUGGUUACAUCCUCAUGUGGUCUUUCCUUGGUGCCUGCACACAGAGAGCAAGCUUCAGUCACUUCACCUCCUGCGAGGAUACUCCUGUCAUCACAGGCACUGCAUGCUUGCUGCUCACAUGCAUCGCUUUGGGGGUCAGGCUUCGGCACACGGACUCCAGAAGGACGCUCUGACUCAGACAGCAUGUGAUGAG
rnacentral:lncRNA from 1 species